rnacentral:rRNA from 1 species
UACGUAGGGACCAAGCGUUGUUCGGAUUUACUGGGCGUAAAGGGCGCGUAGGCGGCCAGUGCAAGUCAGUUGUGAAAUCUCCGAGCUUAACUCGGAAAGGUCAACUGAUACUGCUCGGCUAGAGUGCGGAAGGGGCAACUGGAAUUCUUGGUGUAGCGGUGAAAUGCGUAGAUAUCAAGAGGAACACCUGCGGCGAAGGCGGGUUGCUGGGCCGACACUGACGCUGAGGCGCGAAAGCUAGGGGAGCGAACGGG